rnacentral:lncRNA from 1 species
CCCAUGUUCCAUUGCUCAUGAGAGAUUUGUACUCUUCUUCCAUAGCCUCCUCCCACUUCAACGCAUUCGUAGACUUCAUAGCAUCACAUAUAUUCAAUGGAUCAGCAAGGAGUGCAACAUUGGCAUGUUCUUCAUUUACUUGAGGAAAGAUGUGGUCCUUCCACCAUUCACCACGUUGUUUUCUUUCUCUUGUGGGAUAUCUCCUAUCAUUUGAAGAAGAUUCACCUUGAUGCUCUUCAACCUUUUUUUCUUUUGAACCUUGUCUCUUCUCACUCAAAGGUUGGUAUUCCUCAUCAUCAUCAUCAUCU